rnacentral:rRNA from 1 species
AACGAACGCUGGCGGCAUGCCUAACACAUGCAAGUCGAACGAGACCUUCGGGUCUAGUGGCGCACGGGUGCGUAACGCGUGGGAACCUGCCCUUAGGUUCGGAAUAACUCCCCGAAAGGGGUGCUAAUACCGGAUAAUGUCUUCGGACCAAAGAUUUAUCGCCUUUGGAUGGGCCCGCGUUGGAUUAGCUAGUUGGUAGGGUAAAAGCCUACCAAGGCGACGAUCCAUAGCUGGUCUGAGAGGAUGAUCAGCCACACUGGGACUGAGACACGGCCCAGACUCCUACGGGAGGCAGGAGUGGGGAAUAUUGGACAAUGGGCGAAAGCCUGAUCCAGCAAUGCCGCGUGAGUGAUGAAGGCCUUAGGGUUGUAAAGCUCUUUUACCCGGGAUGAUAAUGACAGUACCGGGAGAAUAAGCACCGGCUAACUCCGUG